rnacentral:rRNA from 1 species
CAGUCGCCGCGGUAAUACGUAGGUGGCAAGCGUUGUCCGGAAUUAUUGGGCGUAAAGCGCGCGCAGGUGGUUUAAUAAGUCUGAUGUGAAAGCCCACGGCUCAACCGUGGAGGGUCAUUGGAAACUGUUAAACUUGAGUGCAGGAGAGAAAAGUGGAAUUCCUAGUGUAGCGGUGAAAUGCGUAGAGAUCGGAAAGAACACCAACGGUGAAAGCACUCUGUUGGGCCGACACUGACACUGAGAGACGAAAGCUAGGGGAGAAAAUGGGAUUAGAUACCCGGGUAGUCCCUGUCUCUUAUAC